rnacentral:lncRNA from 1 species
UUUUCUUCAAGAUUUACCAAUACUCCUUAUUGGGAACAAUCUCCCCAUUUUUGAUGAUGAUCAAAAAUUCAAUUUUAAAAGCAACUUUGGCUUACUUGCAAAACUUACAAGCUAACAGACAACAACAAAGUUAGCAGUAUCUUUAUCAAUUUGUAUUAUACUUCUCCCCUUACCUUUAUCAAUUUGUAUUAUACUUCUCUCCUUAUAGUAUUCUUCUCCCCCUUUUUGGUCAUAAGCAAAAAGAUUAAUGUAAAAAUCUCCCCCUUAAUAUGAGCUCCCCCUC